rnacentral:sRNA from 4 species
AUGUACCCCCGUACACACCGGUUUCUCCGCGCCGGCCGCACCCACCUGACGGCUGCUCGCUACGUUUUGUUAGCG